rnacentral:rRNA from 1 species
GAUGAACGCUGGCGGCGUGCCUAAUACAUGCAAGUCGAGCGAACAGACGAGGAGCUUGCUCCUCUGACGUUAGCGGCGGACGGGUGAGUAACACGUGGAUAACCUACCUAUAAGACUGGGAUAACUUCGGGAAACCGGAGCUAAUACCGGAUAAUAUAUUGAACCGCAUGGUUCAUUAGUGGAAGACGGUUUUGCUGUUACUUAUAGAUGGAUCCGCGCCGCAUUAGCUAGUUGGUAAGGUAACGGCUUACCAAGGCGACGAUGCGUAGCCGACCUGAGAGGGUGAUCGGCCACACUGGAACUGAGACACGGUCCAGACUCCUACGGGAGGCAGCAGUAGGGAAUCUUCCGCAAUGGGCGAAAGCCUGACGGAGCAACGCCGCGUGAGUGAUGAAGGUCUUCGGAUCGUAAAACUCUGUUAUUAGGGAAGAACAAAUGUGUAAGUAACUAUGCACGUCUUGACGGUACCUAAUCAGAAAGCCACGGCUAACUACGUG